UACAGAGGUCCCAAGCGUUGUUCGGAUUCAUUGGGCGUAAAGGGUGCGUAGGUGGCAUGGUAAGUUGGGUGUGAAAUCCCGGGGCUCAACCCCGGAACUGCACUCGAUACUGCCGUGCUCGAGUACUGGAGAGGAGACUGGAAUUUACGGUGUAGCAGUGAAAUGCGUAGAUAUCGUAAGGAAGACCGGUGGCGAAGGCUAGUCUCUGGACAGUUACUGACACUGAGGCACGAAGGCCAGGGGAGCAAACGGG
rnacentral:rRNA from 1 species